rnacentral:rRNA from 1 species
GAUGAACGCUGGCGGCAUGCCUAAGACAUGCAAGUCGUACGAAGUGGCCCAUUGAUGAUUGAGUGCUUGCACAAGAUUUGAUUUGGAUUCCCACUUAGUGGCGCAAGGGUGAGUAACGCGUAGGUUAUCUGCCUUCGAGUUUGGAAUAACAAUUAGAAAUGAUUGCUAAUGCCGGAUUAUAUUUAAGAUGAUACGUUGUCUUAAAUUAAAAGGAGUCCUUUAAAGCUUCGCUUGAAGAUGAGCCUGCGUCGUAUUAGCUAGUUGGUGGGGUAAUGGCCUACCAAGGCAACGAUGCGUAGCCGACCUGAGAGGGUGAUCGGCCACACUGGGACUGAGACACGGCCCAAACUCC